rnacentral:lncRNA from 1 species
AGAGGGCUGGUCCCGCGGUGGACACAAGGGUGAGGGGUGCAGGGAGGAGGGGGAAGGCAGGAGCUGGAGCAGGAACCCCCAUGCCGAGGCUGUGGCCCCACCUCCCUGACACCCUCUCUCCCCACACCCUCACUCCUGCGCACACACACAGACCUGCAACUCACCCCGUCUGUGAAGAAGCUCCGGAGCAACGGCAGGCUGGACCAAGAGCCUCCUGAGGGCAGGGACAGCGUCUUCCCCAUCAGACUGAGAGCUUCCUAAGGGCAAAAGCUCCCCCAUCAGCUGGGGCUCCUCGAGGGCAGAGAUGACAUCUCCCAUCAAACAGAGUGUGCUCUGGAAGAAGAGACUGCCUCUCCCGGCCACAGCCUAGAGCCUUUCAUCAGGGAUCAGUGGUGUGGAUGGGGCCCUUGAGACAAUCCAGUGAGAUCUGGAAGUGAAGAAAAAGAUUAUAAUCUGGGAUAAAUAUAAAAAAUUACAAUAAAAAUUUUAUUGCAAAUUUACAAAUUAUGGUUGUUUAUAUGUACAUGGUAAAGGGCAAUGUUAUGAUUUGUUAAUACAAUAUGAAAUAACUAAGAUAAUUAAGAAAUAACUGAUAUAAUUAUCAUUCAUUGUUUCAAAUUUUUAUCUUUUAUUGUGACAACAUUUAACAUUUACUCUUAGCUCUUUAAAAUGACCAAUGUACUAUUUUAAAUGAACCAAUAGAAACCAAUUUAUGUAAACAAUUGAAAAUCUGGGAAAUCAAUUAUGAAUUACUGUAAUAAUUUAAUAAUUAAAAGUUAAUAAUGUAGUUAAUUAAGUUUGAUUUUUUCAAACUUUUUUUAUCAUUUCAUUGUAAUAUUUAAUACAAAUGCCUACAUAUAUAUGCAUUGGUCUGUGUAUUUAUACAUCUUUCUAUGGGUAUAAAUUUUUGUCCCUAUAGCUAUGUAGUUGCUGAUGUCAACAAAUGUUAAUAAAACUCUGGAAGAAUCAGUGCAAACAAUUAGGAAUGUUUAUUUCUUGAA